rnacentral:rRNA from 1 species
GGGGGACAACGUCUCGAAAGGGACGCUAAUACCGCAUACGUCCUACGGGAGAAAGUGGGGGCUCUUCGGACCUCACGCUAUCAGAUGAGCCUAGGUCGGAUUAGCUAGUUGGUGAGGUAAUGGCUCACCAAGGCGACGAUCCGUAACUGGUCUGAGAGGAUGAUCAGUCACACUGGAACUGAGACACGGUCCAGACUCUAUACGGGAGGCAGCAGUGGGGAAUAUUGGACAAUGGGCGAAAGCCUGAUCCAGCCAUGCCGCGUGUGUGAAGAAGGUCUUCGGAUUGUAAAGCACUUUAAGUUGGGAGGAAGGGUUGUACGUUAAUACCGUGCAAUUUUGACGUUACCGACAGAAUAAGCACCGGCUAACUCUGUGCCAGCAGCCGCGGUAAUACAGAGGGUGCAAGCGUUAAUCGGAAUUACUGGGCGUAAAGCGCGCGUAGGUGGUUUGUUAAGUUGGAUGUGAAAUCCCCGGGCUCAACCUGGGAACUGCAUCCAAAAC